CUCUGUUGCCAGGCUGGAGUGCAGUGGCGCUAUCUUGGCUCACUGCAACCUCUGCCUCCAGGUCUCAAGCGAUUCUCCUGCCUCAGCCUCUGAGUAGCUGGGACUACAGGUUCAUGCCACCACGCCCAGCUAAUUUUCGUAUUUUUAGUAGAGAUGGGGUUUCACCGUGUUGGCCAGGAUGGUCUUGAUCUCUUGACCUCGUGAUCUGCCUGCCUUGGCCUCCCAAAGUGCUGGGAUUACAGGUAUGAGCCACCACACCCGGCCCUCCUUCAUUCUUUAGGCUAUCUUUUGACUGUCUUCAUAAUGUCCUGUGAUGCACAACAGUUUCUAAUUUUUGUGCAGUGCAGUUUAACAAAUGUGAGCAAAAGGGAUGAGUGUAAUUUCUGGACUGCAACCCUAGAAAGCACUGUGCCUGCUUCCUCUGCCCUCUCCUUCCCUACUGGCUGGGAGAUACUGAGAAUUUUAACAUCCCCCUUUGCCCCAAAGACGGAUACUACCCAUGCUGGAAGGCAGAGCUAUCCCAUUAGCCCUGGACUGCUCAGCUUGAGACUCUUACACAAGGCAGAAAUAAACAUGGUAUUCAGGUCACUUAAUAUGUAUUUUAGGAUCUUUGCUAUAUCACCUUAACCUAUACUCUAAUUUUACAACUACAGUGUGGCAUACAAAUAUUACCAUUUUCUGGUUGUGCCGUGGUGAAGGCUGGGAAGGACUAUGACAUGGACCAUUUGUUCUUGGUCCCUUUUGCUGACCCUUCCUUCUCACUGCCAUCAAGUGGAGAAUCCUUUCCUCCAUACCAUCCAGGUAGUUGGUUUAGUCUGGUCCCAAAGAUAAAGGUCAAAUACCCCAACUCUUGCAGAAAAUUUGAGCAUAUAUUGGCCAUAGGAAGCCAUUGCCUUGCCUUGGGUAGCACAUGCGAUAAAGGUUGGUGAGCCCCGAGCACAUGCGAUAAAGGUUGGUGAGCCCUGGUGCUGGACAUCCCCAAAUAAAUCCCCAGGGGCCCGACACCCAUGAAAGACUACUUGCAUCAUGGGUUGUCCUGACAUAAGAGUUCCCCGAAGACUUCCCUUCCUAGCUGGGAAUCAGGAGUUCCAACUCCUCCAAAGAGAGAUAUUUUCAUAGUUGUUCCCUCAGUCCUCACGGCCUCUUUUUCCUGCUCUGGCUGGCUUGGGACGCCAGAAAAACUGAGUCUCCCGUUUAUCUUCCAGCCUCUGAGCACCGUUAUGAUGCAGUGAGAUGCCCAAAUUAAGGUGAAUUGCAGGUCUGACUUCUUGGCUUGUUGGUUCCCUUGGACAUGCAUCCUCAGAGAGCUCUUCUCCCAGGUGUAGCCUCCAACCCUCGGGCUUCCUGACAGCAGCACCUUCAGCUGAGCUGGUGGGCAAGAGCUCCUUAGAACCCUUCCUUCCUCCCUCUGCUCGGCCCUUCCUCUCCCCACAUCGCUUCUUCCCGGUGCAGGGGCAGCGGCUGGGGCCUCAGCCUUAGUACUUCCAGCUGAACCCUGGGAUGGCGCGGGACUGUAGCUCUAGGAAGUAUCUGAGCCUGCACGCGGUUUGCAUCAUUGGGAGCACGCGCCUCGCCCUCUGAACUACGAGCCCCAUAACCCUUCGCGACAAGCGUUUCCCGCCUUUCCCCUUUCAUUUCCCAGAGGCCAUUGCAGGCCGGUCCUGGCCCUGGGGCUGCGGUCCCCGUGUUCCCAGGGUGAAUGAAGGCGUGCGAGGCGCUGCUGCUUGUACCCAGGAGAACCAGGUGGAGUGUCUCUCUGUCACCAGGCUGGAGUGCAGUGGUGCGAUCUCAGCUCACUGCAACCUCCACCUCCUGGAUUCAAGCAAUUCUCCUGCCUCAGCCUUCUGAGUAGCUGGGACUACAGGCUGGAUUGAAGAUUACCCCACAGCCUCUGAGUCUGCCGGGACAGUGGCCACUCAUCUCAUUCAAGACAUCAUCCCAUGCUUUGGACUCCCGGCCACCAUACAGUCAGACAACGGCCCAGCCUUUAUCUCCAAAGUCACUAAUGCUGUUUCUACCUCUCUAGGAAUUCAGUGGAAGCUACACGCCGCCUACCAUCCUAAGUCCUCUGGUAAGGUGGAACGGGCCAAUGGCCUAAUAAAGGAGCAUCUGACCAAGCUCAUGCUUGAGCUCCGCCAAUCCUGGGUAACUUUGCUUCCUAUCGCCCUCACCAGGUUAAGAGCAAGCUCCCGAGGCCCAUCACAGCUUAGCCCGUUUGAGCUGCUGUACGGUCGCCCCUUCCUACUUUCAACUCCCCCACCGCCAGAAACCACUCCUCUAGACAUUUACCUCCCCUACUUUACUCUUCUUCGAAACCUUCUCCCACAGCACGCAGACACCUCUUCCCCAACCCACCCAGCCAUCCGAGAGUACACAAAAAGUCUCCCCCGGAGACUUAAUUCUUAUUAAAUCCCUCUCCCCAAAGCCCCUCGCCCCCAAGUGGGAGGGACCAUAUACUGUCAUCCUCACUACUCCAUCAGCCAUAAAAGUCGCUGAAGUCCCAUCCUGGGUUCACCUGUCUCGGUUAAAAAAGGCCCCUCAUGGACCCUCCUCAUGCUGGAAGGCUGUUCCUACUGGCCCUUUAUCUGUCAAACUUACCAGGGCCUAGCAGCCACACCCCCUACAGAUGGAGAUUUUUCCUAACUGAAAACUAUACCAAAACCACCUUUAUCUGUAACACCCCCCCCAUACAGCCACAACCAUCUUCUUGCAACUGCUGACUGCCCCGCAGCCGGGUGCCAAAGCGCCAUAUACCUAAACUUCACUAAAUUCUACAAUGUCCAUGAAGGAAUUGGGGUUUUACCUGUCAUAUGUUUCAAUUAUGACCAACCAUCAGGAAGAUGCAGUGAUACUCCCUGGAGCUCCUGAAUGGGCUGCACCUGGGGUGAUUGCUCUCUGCAUGCAGCCCUUGACAUACAGCGGCACCCAAACAUUCCUGCCUGGCUCAAAAUUGUUCCAGACGUAGAUGGAGAAGGAAAUGUCAAAACCGGUUAUACACGGUAUUCUCUUCUCAUACCUGACCCUUGGAAUGACCAGUGGAAAAGCCCCCAGAAAGCUGCCCUAUAUGACCUCGGCACCACCACAUAUCCCUCUUCCCACCUGUAUAUUUGGCGGGCAUAGGUACGUACGGUCCACCAAGUCCAUUCCGCUAUUAACCUACAAGAAAAAUCUCUAAAUAACCAAUUGCAACCACACUCGUCUCCGUUUUCCUGGCUAACCUUUCUCAAAGAAGUAAUCAAAUUAGCUAACCUCUCAGGAUUAACUGACCUAACCUCAUGCCUCAUGUGUGCCUCCUUAGGACAGACUCCCUUCGUCGCAGUCCCCUACCCCAUCCCUCUCAACCUUUCAGCCUCAACUUCUCCCUUCUCCCCCAUCAAGGAAGUAAAUCUCUACACUCCACCUGAUUUUACACAGCUACCAGUAUGCUACUCCCUAGGCCGGAACUACUCCAACUGUAACAAAACCAUACUGGUAACCACCAAUCUGACAGCUCCAAAGGGAACUUUCUUCUGGUGUAACAGAACCCUCACAAAAACUCUCCACACCGGCCAGUCCCCAACUCCCUUAUGGCUCCCAGUGACCUUAGUCCCCCAACUCACUAUAUAUUCCUCAGCCGAAUUCCAAAUGCUACAAGCACCGCUCCACCGCACCAGGCGAGCUGCUUUUCUGCCCCUAGCUGUAGGCAUCUCCCUAGUAACCUCGGCACUUGCAGCUGGAUUGGGAGGAGGAGCACUAACCCAUUCUCAACAAGCUAUAGCCCAGCUAACCUCACAAUUCCAAACUGCUGUUGAUGACUCUACUGAGUCAUUAGCAUUGCUCCAACGACAGAUUACCUCAGUUGCCCAAGUUGCCUUACAGAACCGAAGAGCCCUGGAUCUGCUCACCGUCAAACGAGGAGGAACCUGUAUCUUCCUACAGGAAGAGUGCUGUUACUACAUCAAUGAAUCUGGCCUAGUAGAAACCCAAAUCGAGAACCUCCAGAAACUCAAAACUAAUCUGCAGAAUCAAAAACUCUCAGCUGAAGCCACGGCGUGGUGGUCUUACUCUAUGUAUACCCUCUUGUCCCCGUUGCUUGGGCCCCUAAUAGCCGUUUGCCUAAUCUUACUUAUUGCUCCUUGCUUUCUACAGUUCCUACAGCGGCGCUUCAAGAACUAACUCGAGUCACCAUCCACCAGAUGCUGCUCCAACCUUACCCUGAAUUAGUGCUAGAAGCGGACCUCUCCCUGAACAUCCAGACUCCUUAGGAAAAGAAACCUCUUCAGAACCCCCCGUCGACCCUUGUCAGCAGGAAGUAGCCAGAGAGACAACCAACGCCCCUGACCCCCUCUUUUCUUCUUUUCUUUUAAGGAGUCGGGAAUGUUUGGAAAAUUCUGCCCCUAUCGUGAAAGCUCUCUUUCCCUCCCCCACAAAAAGGCUCCCUUAUCUCUCACUCUACAUACCGCUCUAGCCUUCCCGCCCGGCCGCAGCCACCUCCUGCCCGGCAACCGGCUGACCAAUCACCGCCUGCCUCAUCAGCACUCCCCAGUUUCCCGCCGCCCAGCUUCCCGCCCAGCGGUUUAAACUGACCAACCGUUGCCCACCACCUCGGCUCUCUCGGCUUCCCCACUCCCCCGGCCCUUCAGCCCCCUAUAAAAGAACCCUGCUCCUCUGAGCAGCGCGGCCAUUUUCCUCUUCUUCCCGGCUGGCCCGCCCCGAGGCUCUUUCCUCUCAAUAAAGCCUGAACCUAAGACUUUCUUCUAACCUGCGGUCCGGUCUUUUUCGAACAAGCUCAGUCCUCCCGCAGAGGGUAGGUCAGACAUAAUAUGUUUAUAUGACAAAGUUCUGGACAGUGAGAUGAAAGGACUGCAUGCAGCUGCUGCUAAGUGAGCAUAAAGGCAUGAGGCGUACCUUUUCUCCCAGGUUUCCGCCUUCCUAUAGACUGGUAAGUAAAUGUGAUGGUUAGAGCAAAUACAGCUAUUUGGGGUAAUGAGGUAGAAGCCAACUACUGAGAACGGCAGACCAAUGAAAGAGAAAGAGUUUGGUUCUUCUGCCUUUUGGAGCUAAAGGACCAGCCCUGAACUUCAACAUGAGAGACAAACUUCUGUCUUGUUUAAGCAAAGGUUAUCUCGGCUUUCUAUCACAGGUAGUCAAGUGUAAUACAAACAGACUAAUAUGUUCAUGCCGUGUCUGGCCAUCCUUUGGCAGCUAUCAAGGUGUGCUCCUUAAAUCCUCUUUCAGGGAAUCCACUGAGAGAAUCCUAGUUGGCAGCCUCUAGCUGCUCCACUUUUGUGCUGAUGCCAUGAUACACCAACGCUGCCUCCAGCCAAACACUCAGCUUAGUGAGGCUCGUCAAGUCUGGACUAUGGUUUCUUCUAGUGGGAAAGCUUUUGUCAGCAGCUCCCCUUUGGCCUGGCUGAGACUUUCUCACAGCUUCAGGGUGGUCUGAGUUGGCAGAAAAAAAGGAUUAGUAAACUUGAAGACAGAUCAAUAGAAAUGAUGCAAUCUGAAGAAGAGACAGAAAUAAGCAUGAAGAAAAAUGAAUACAGGCUGGACACAGAGGCUCAUGCCUGUAAUCUCAGUGCUUUGGGUGGCCAAGGUGAGAGGAUCACUUGAGACUAGGAGUUCAAGACCAGUGUCAGCAAGAUGGUGAGAUCCUAUUUCUACCAAAAAUUUUAAAAAUUAGCCAGUUUGGUGGCACAUGCCUGUAGUCCUAGCCACUCAGGAGACUGAGGCGGGAGGAUUGCUUUAGUCCAAGAGUUCAAGGUUAUAGUAAGCUAUAAUUGUGUCACUGCACUUCAGCCUGGGUGACAGAGUGAGACCUUAUCUCAAAAAAAGAAUAUAGACUCAUAGCCU